GAUGAACGCUAGCGGCAGGCUUAACACAUGCAAGUCGAGGGGUAACAGGGAAGAGCUUGCUUUUCUGCUGACGACCGGCGCACGGGUGCGUAACGCGUAUAGAACCUACCUUUUACAGGGGAAUAGCCCAGAGAAAUUUGGAUUAAUGCCCCAUAGUAUUAUUGAAUGGCAUCAUUUAAUAAUUAAACAUUUAUGGGUAAAAGAUGGCUAUGCGUUCUAUUAGCUAGAUGGUAAGGUAACGGCUUACCAUGGCAACGAUAGAUAGGGGUCCUGAGAGGGAGAUCCCCCACACUGGUACUGAGACACGGACCAGACUCCUACGGGAGGCAGCAGUGAGGAAUAUUGGACAAUGGAGGCAACUCUGAUCCAGCCAUGCCGCGUGCAGGAAGACGGUCCUAUGGAUUGUAAACUGCUUUUAUAUAGGAAGAAACCUUUCCACGUGUGGAAAGCUGACGGUACUAUAAGAAUAAGCACCGGCUAACUCCGUGCCAGCAGCCGCGGUAAUACGGAGGGUGCAAGCGUUAUCCGGAAUCAUUGGGUUUAAAGGGUCCGUAGGCGGACUAAUAAGUCAGGGGUGAAAUCCAACAGCUUAACUGUUGAACUGCCUUUGAUACUGUUAGUCUUGAGUUAUAUGGAAGUAGAUAGAAUAUGUAGUGUAGCGGUGAAAUGCUUAGAGAUUACAUAGAAUACC
rnacentral:rRNA from 1 species